rnacentral:lncRNA from 1 species
CGAAGAAUUUUAAUAUUCUUUUCAGUUUAUUUUUCUACUUCAUUAUAGAAUCAUUUUAAUAUUUUAAAUGAUUCAGACUUGUGUUUCAUCAAGUAGACAUAUCCAUACCUAUAAUAGAUCAUCUAUGAACAUAAUAAAAUAGUGGUACCCUCUUCUGGCACUUGUGCUUAUGGAUCCACAUACAUCAGUAUGUUCCAAAGCC